rnacentral:misc_RNA from 1 species
CACCCACACCGGGAGGAUUUUCUGUUCCUUUGGGGCUUGCUCUCAUUUGAGGCUUUGACAGGAGUAUUUCCAGCUCGGUGACAGACAAAAUAACGUCUGGUGAGUCCUUUGCCAACCCCAUCCUUUCCUUCUGUGCGAUGACGGCGGAUUGAGAAUCCACAUCGCCUCGCAAAUUCACUGUAGAAUUCAUAAGCUGCAUCAUGGGUAGCAAACCUCUGCCCAAUGUAUGGAAUUGCAUCAUUAGUAGUUUCUAGUGAAAGUCUGGUUUUAUCAGGUGAUUCUUCCGUGCUACUGGUAUCAUCCAAAGACACAGAUCGUUGGUCUGAGGGAUCAUCAUAAACCACAAGCAUCUGUCCAGCCUCUUCAGACAUCAUGUUUCUCAUUAACCUAUGUGAGGUCAACUUAGAAACCAAUCAAUCAAGGAUCCAUCUGUUGUAAAAUGGUGAAACUACUGGGGAAUUUUCCGCGAGG